rnacentral:lncRNA from 1 species
UCUUUGAUGGCAUGCAUUUAGAUUCUAUCUGCCAACCAUGUCUUUUGCAAGUUUGAAAACUCUCCUAGGUUUUUACUCAAUCAAGUUGAUUAACACAGCAACUACCAUACACAGUUGACUGGUGCCAUUUCCAUAGUACUCCAUUUCUAUUUGAAUUUCUUCCUUUUUUUUUUUUUCAAGACAGGGUUUCUCUGUAUACCCCUGGUUGUGCUUCCUAAGGUUUAUCUUCCUAACUCAAUUCCAAAUAUUUUAGAGGAAACUUUAGUUACCGGUCAAUAAGUAUUUGUAUCAUGCAGGGCGCACAGCUCCGAGCAAAUCUGAGUAAAUCCAUUGGUGUUGGUGAACCGUACCUCUGCCUUACUUACUGUACUACCACAAUGCUCUGUAUCCAACCAAAGAAGAAGGCCUGGUGUGAGGCAGCACCAUGAACCCCAAUAGGCUUGGCACACAGCACUGGAGACACAGUUGAGCCAUGAGAGCACCCACUGCUCUGGUAGAAGACCCAAGUUCAGUUCCCAGCACCCCUGUCAAACAGCUCACAGUUUCCUGUAACUAUGGCUCCCUCUUCUGAACUCCAUGGGCACAUGCAUCUAUGUGUGUGCAUGCACGCACAAACAUACACAUGAAAUUUUAAAGGAAUUUUUUUUUUUAGAAAAAAAAAAUUUUUAGGUAUCUUAAUAAGUUUACCGCCCAACAACAAUCAAUUUACUAUGGCAAGAUGAUAUAUACACACACACAUAUGUAUGUGCAUUUGUAUGUAUGCAUACACACAGACAUACAAACAGUAAGUAGUUGUACUUGAGAAUACUUACUCCCCCUAUAAGUGGGAGUAAGUAUUCUUGUACAUUCUAUCUCAUUUCUUAAAAAUACCAAAGUUCCCAGUUACGGUUCCCCUCAAAGGAUUUACAAAUCCUACUACGAGCUUCAAAUAUCCUGUUGGAAACACGGACCUCUACGGAAUCAUGCAGCCCAGUGUCUUCUUUCCGGGCAAGUGCUAAAUGUUUGUGGGUCAAACAUUAACUGAUUACCACUCAUAUUCCCUCAACCCUGUAGUGACACAGGCAGACUUGGCAUUUGUUUUCUAAAGGUGUAGACCCUUCUGAGCUCCCCAGGUUCCACCGUGGUGUAGAACUGACAUCUGUGCUCUUUUGUUCAUCUAACUCAAAAUAUUGUUGAGUGUUAUUAAGCUACCCCUGUCUAAAGGAGAAAGGCAGUCCAUCUAUGGUACAACGAAUGCCCUUGAGCUUUCAAAACCCAUGGCCAGGCCGGCUCUUGCCAUGGGCUGUGUUUCGAAGUGAUCCCUUUUGUAGGCAUGGUCUGAAUGUGGAGACUCCUCCUCAUAGAGGAGAAGGAGCAGUCACUUUCUGCCUCUUUGCUCUGAACCUAGUAGAAACUGCUUUUAACAUCCCAAAGAUAGAGGGAAGCUUCUAUUUAUAGGCUUUGUGUGGUUCCUUGAGUUUUAACCAAAGUAAAAAAAGAACAAUAAUAAAUCGCCUUUGAGUUUCUGCCCAUAGAACUGUUUAUUUAGCAUUUUCUGUAAAACAGGAGAUCUUCUGUCCUCACAAGAAAGACUGCAUGUGGAUUGCCUGGGAGACUUGAAAUGAUUUCUAAUCUUGUCCCAACUGUCUACUGCUCUAUAAAUGAAAUGUUUCAUUUUCAAAGAGACAGUGACAGUUGUCCUGAAGAUGGCCCCUUUAAACACAAAGUGUUUUCCAAGAGAGCAAUGGCAUUGUUGCUUUUAUUGGAAAAAUGGAUUUUCAGCAACUCUUAACCUGCUUACAUCUUAGCAGGGCCUUUGUUUCCGUGAAGUUGUCUGCAAGAUUGUUUCUUUGAUUCACAAACUCUUAAGGACUGCCAUUUUUGUGGGAUGGGCAAAUGGGACAGUAGCCAUAUGGAAAAAGAAUUGAACUUGGAAUAUGUAAAUAUAUACAUAUAUAUAUACAUAUAUAUAUACACAUAUGUACAUAUAUGUGUGUGUGUAUAUAUAUUAUACUACAUAUAGUAUUGGAUAUGUAUUACAUAUAUAUGUGUGUGUGCGUGUGUAUAUAUAUAUGUAAUAUAGUAUUGGGGUAAGAAAUAUCUACCUCAGUGUUUUCUUCCGCUGAAAUAAGCAGGUCUUUUAUUGACAGAUGGGUCCACUGUACCAAAAGGCCUUGCAAUUUUGGGGAGGUGAUGAGGAGGUAGACCACCAGGUUACUACUAAUCAGCCUUUCUUUUCCCUUGGGUUGGGCAUUUUUUUAGGAUCUCAGACACCAGGUAUGCUAAUCUCUAGACAGGAUACAGCUUUGUUAUUGAUGUUAUUUUGUGGUGAUGGAGGCUGGACCCAAUGGUCCAUCGAUGAACCAACCUGGAAAAGUGUGUAUGUGUGUGUGUGUGUGUGUGCGCGCACGCGUGCUCGCACGCAUGUGCUUAUGAGCACUCAUAGAGGUAGGAGGUCUGUGUGGAGGUCAGAGGAUACCUUUAGGAGCUGGUUCACACCUUCCACCGUGUUAGAAAUCUCUCUCUUGUUUCUGCUGCUGACUCUGUCUGUACACCAAGCUAGCUGCUCAACAGAAAUUCUUCCAUCUUCACCUCCUAUCUCCAAGUAGGAAUGCUGGAAUUACAGACAUGUACCAUAGCAUCUGACAUUUUACAAGGCUUCUGGAGUAAUCGAGGUUGCAGGGCUAAUGAUUGUUACCUGCUGAACUAUUUUUCUAGACCCAAAUUUAUAUCUUAAGGAUACUUGACCCAACAGAUUUUCAAUUAAGAAUCACUAUUUUUUCCUCUGAAAAUCUAAAUUUUUUCCUUCUCUCUAUUUACUAAAUACCUUAAUUUUAUUUAUGAUUCAGAGAGAUUUAUGGUUCAGUGAGAUUCUAUUUACUCCCAAUAGGUUGUGAUUUCUGUGGUAGACCACUAAAGACUGCAUCUUUACAACUGAUAAUCCUCCCAAAAGAUAAUUUUUUUAAAAAAAUUACUUUUAAAUC